ACCAAUGUUAUGGAAUAUGAGGAAAUUGCUAGGCAGAAAUUGCCAAAGAUGGUUUUUGACUAUUAUGCAUCAGGUGCAGAAGACCAGUGGACCCUCAAGGAGAAUCGCAAUGCAUUCUCUAGAAUUUUGUUUCGACCGCGCAUUCUUAUUGAUGUGAGCAAGAUUGACAUGACUACAAGCGUCUUGGGCUUCAAAGUUUCAAUGCCUAUCAUGAUUGCUCCAACA
rnacentral:misc_RNA from 1 species